rnacentral:rRNA from 1 species
AGCGAACGCUGGCGGCAGGCCUAACACAUGCAAGUCGAACGAACUCUUCGGAGUUAGUGGCGGACGGGUGAGUAACACGUGGGAACGUGCCCUUUGGUACGGAAUAACUUAGGGAAACUUGAGCUAAUACCGUAUGUGCCCUUCGGGGGAAAGAUUUAUCGCCAUUGGAGCGGCCCGCGUCUGAUUAGCUAGUUGGUGAGGUAAAGGCUCACCAAGGCUACGAUCAGUAGCUGGUCUGAGAGGAUGACCAGCCACAUUGGGACUGAGACACGGCCCAAACUCCUACGGGAGGAAGCGGUGGGGAAUCUUGCGCAAUGGGCGAAAGCCUGACGCAGCCAUGCCGCGUGAAUGAUGAAGGUCUUAGGAUUGUAAAAUUCUUUCACCGGAGACGAUAAUGACGGUACCCGGAGAAGAAGCCCCGGCUAACUUCGUG